GACGAACGCUGGCGGCGUGCUUAACACAUGCAAGUCGAGCGAUGAAGUUCCUUCGGGAACGGAUUAGCGGCGGACGGGUGAGUAACACGUGGGUAACCUGCCUCAUAGAGGGGAAUAGCCUUCCGAAAGGAAGAUUAAUACCGCAUAAGAUUGUAGUUUCGCAUGAAAUAGCAAUUAAAGGAGUAAUCCGCUAUGAGAUGGACCCGCGUCGCAUUAGCUAGUUGGUGAGGUAACGGCUCACCAAGGCGACGAUGCGUAGCCGACCUGAGAGGGUGAUCGGCCACAUUGGGACUGAGACACGGCCCAGACUCCUACGGGAGGCAGCAGUGGGGAAUAUUGCACAAUGGGGGAAACCCUGAUGCAGCAACGCCGCGUGAGUGAUGACGGUCUUCGGAUUGUAAAGCUCUGUCUUUAGGGACGAUAAUGACGGUACCUAAGGAGGAAGCCACGGCUAACUACGUGCCAGCAGCCGCUGUAAGAC
rnacentral:rRNA from 1 species